rnacentral:rRNA from 1 species
UACGAACGCUGGCGGCAGGCUUAACACAUGCAAGUUGAACGGGAUUGUUUUGGUGCUUGCACUGAGACAUGAGAGUGGCGCACGGGUGAGUAAUAUGUAGGAACGUACCUAUUGGUUUGGAACAACGCUUGGAAACGAGUGCUAAUACCGGAUAAGCCCUGAGGGGGAAAGAUUUAUCGCCGAUAGAACGGCCUGCAUCAGAUUAGGCAGUUGGUGGGGUAAAGGCCUACCAAACCUACGAUCUGUAGCUGGUCUGAGAGGACGAUCAGCCACAUUGGGACUGAGACACGGCCCAG